rnacentral:rRNA from 1 species
GGUUAAGCGACUAAGCGUACACGGUGGAUGCCCUGGCAGUCAGAGGCGAUGAAGGGCGUGCUAAUCUGCGAUAAGCGCCGGUAAGGUGAUAUGAACCGUUAUAACCGGCGAUACCCGAAUGGGGAAACCCAGUGUGACUCGUCACACUAUCAUUAACUGAAUCCAUAGGUUAAUGAGGCGAACCGGGGGAACUGAAACAUCUAAGUACCCCGAGGAAAAGAAAUCAACCGAGAUUCCCCCAGUAGCGGCGAGCGAACGGGGAGGAGCCCAGAGCCUGAAUCAGCAUGUGUGUUAGUGGAAGCGUCUGGAAAGGCGCGCGAUACAGGGUGACAGCCCCGUACACAAAAGCGCAUGUGCUGUGAGCUCGAUGAGUAGGGCGGGACACGUGGUAUCCUGUCUGAAUAUGGGGGGACCAUCCUCCAAGGCUAAAUACUCCUGACUGACCGAUAGUGAACCAGUACCGUGAGGGAAAGGCGAAAAGAACCCCGGCGAGGGGAGUGAAAAAGAACCUGAAACCGUGUACGUACAAGCAGUGGGAGCACCCUUUGGGGUGUGACUGCGUACCUUUUGUAUAAUGGGUCAGCGACUUAUAUUCUGUAGCAAGGUUAACCGUAUAGGGGAGCCGUAGGGAAACCGAGUCUUAACCGGGCGUUAAGUUGCAGGGUAUAGACCCGAAACCCGGUGAUCUAGCCAUGGGCAGGUUGAAGGUUGGGUAACACUAACUGGAGGACCGAACCGACUAAUGUUGAAAAAUUAGCGGAUGACCUGUGGCUGGGGGUGAAAGGCCAAUCAAACCGGGAGAUAGCUGGUUCUCCCCGAAAGCUAUUUAGGUAGCGCCUCGUGAAUUCAUCUCCGGGGGUAGAGCACUGUUUCGGCUAGGGGGCCAUCCCGGCUUACCAACCCGAUGCAAACUGCGAAUACCGGAGAAUGUUAUCACGGGAGACACACGGCGGGUGCUAACGUCCGUCGUGAAGAGGGAAACAACCCAGACCGCCAGCUAAGGUCCCAAAGUCAUGGUUAAGUGGGAAACGAUGUGGGAAGGCCCAGACAGCCAGGAUGUUGGCUUAGAAGCAGCCAUCAUUUAAAGAAAGCGUAAUAGCUCACUGGUCGAGUCGGCCUGCGCGGAAGAUGUAACGGGGCUAAACCAUGCACCGAAGCUGCGGCAGCGACGCUGAUGCGUUGUUGGGUAGGGGAGCGUUCUGUAAGCCUGCGAAGGUGACCUGUGAGGGUUGCUGGAGGUAUCAGAAGUGCGAAUGCUGACAUAAGUAACGAUAAAGCGGGUGAAAAGCCCGCUCGCCGGAAGACCAAGGGUUCCUGUCCAACGUUAAUCGGGGCAGGGUGAGUCGACCCCUAAGGCGAGGCCGAAAGGCGUAGUCGAUGGGAAACGGGUUAAUAUUCCCGUACUUGGUGUUACUGCGAAGGGGGGACGGAGAAGGCUAUGUUGGCCGGGCGACGGUUGUCCCGGUUUAAGCGUGUAGGUGUGUGUUCCAGGUAAAUCCGGUUCACUUUAACACUGAGGCGUGAUGACGAGGCACUACGGUGCUGAAGCAACAAAUGCCCUGCUUCCAGGAAAAGCCUCUAAGCAUCAGGUAACAUCAAAUCGUACCCCAAACCGACACAGGUGGUCAGGUAGAGAAUACCAAGGCGCUUGAGAGAACUCGGGUGAAGGAACUAGGCAAAAUGGUGCCGUAACUUCGGGAGAAGGCACGCUGACACGUAGGUGAAGUGAUUUACUCACGGAGCUGAAGUCAGUCGAAGAUACCAGCUGGCUGCAACUGUUUAUUAAAAACACAGCACUGUGCAAACACGAAAGUGGACGUAUACGGUGUGACGCCUGCCCGGUGCCGGAAGGUUAAUUGAUGGGGUCAGCGCAAGCGAAGCUCCUGAUCGAAGCCCCGGUAAACGGCGGCCGUAACUAUAACGGUCCUAAGGUAGCGAAAUUCCUUGUCGGGUAAGUUCCGACCUGCACGAAUGGCGUAAUGAUGGCCAGGCUGUCUCCACCCGAGACUCAGUGAAAUUGAACUCGCUGUGAAGAUGCAGUGUACCCGCGGCAAGACGGAAAGACCCCGUGAACCUUUACUAUAGCUUGACACUGAACAUUGAGCCUUGAUGUGUAGGAUAGGUGGGAGGCUUUGAAGUGUGGACGCCAGUCUGCAUGGAGCCGACCUUGAAAUACCACCCUUUAAUGUUUGAUGUUCUAACGUGGACCCGUUACCCGGGUUGCGGACAGUGUCUGGUGGGUAGUUUGACUGGGGCGGUCUCCUCCUAAAGAGUAACGGAGGAGCACGAAGGUUGGCUAAUCCUGGUCGGACAUCAGGAGGUUAGUGCAAUGGCAUAAGCCAGCUUGACUGCGAGCGUGACGGCGCGAGCAGGUGCGAAAGCAGGUCAUAGUGAUCCGGUGGUUCUGAAUGGAAGGGCCAUCGCUCAACGGAUAAAAGGUACUCCGGGGAUAACAGGCUGAUACCGCCCAAGAGUUCAUAUCGACGGCGGUGUUUGGCACCUCGAUGUCGGCUCAUCACAUCCUGGGGCUGAAGUAGGUCCCAAGGGUAUGGCUGUUCGCCAUUUAAAGUGGUACGCGAGCUGGGUUUAGAACGUCGUGAGACAGUUCGGUCCCUAUCUGCCGUGGGCGCUGGAGAACUGAGGGGGGCUGCUCCUAGUACGAGAGGACCGGAGUGGACGCAUCACUGGUGUUCGGGUUGUCAUGCCAAUGGCACUGCCCGGUAGCUAAAUGCGGAAGAGAUAAGUGCUGAAAGCAUCUAAGCACGAAACUUGCCCCGAGAUGAGUUCUCCCUGAGACUUAAAGUCUCCUGAAGGAACGUUGAAGACGACGACGUUGAUAGGCCGGGUGUGUAAGCGCAGCGAUGCGUUGAGCUAACCGGUACUAAUGAACCGUGAGGCUUAACCUUAC